AGUUCAAGGGUAAAAUAAAAGGCAUUGAAAGUCCAAAGUUUAUGACCAAACCAAGUAUUUGUAAAAUGAAUUGAAUGAGUGUUUGAAUGGUAAUUAUGGUUGAAUAUGUCUUGAAUUGAUGUUGAAUGAGUGGUGGUGUGAUAGGGUGAUCAAAUGAAGCAAGGCCAAUGAUCAAAGGAUGCCCAAAUUAGGGUUUCUUGAAUCACACGUUUCAU
rnacentral:lncRNA from 1 species